UCCACAUGGUGGUUAUGAUGGUGGUAGUAGUAGCAGUAGUAGUAAUAGUAGUAAUAGCAGCAGUAGUAGUAGUAGAACGUAUCAGCAGUAUGUACCAGCAGCAGUAUUUGUAGUACUAAGCAGUGGUAGUAAUAGUAGUAGUACUACUAGUAGUAGUAGUAGUUGAUGUUGUUGUUGCUGGUGUUGUUGAUGUUUGGGUGGUCAUGGAGUGGUUAGUUCUUGUAGUAGUAGUAGUAGUAGUUGUAGUAGUAGUAGUAGUAACAGUGACACUGGUUUGGGUGGACAUGCAGGGAUUGGUAGUAGUAGUAUUAUGUAGCAGUAGUAGUAAUAGUAGUAGAUAGUUGUUGUUGAUGUAGUUGCUGUAGUGACAGUGGUGUAAAUGGUUGUGGAGUGACUCCAGUAGUAGUAGUAGUAGUAGUAGUGGUAGUAACUGGUGGUGGUAGAAUGAAAGGUGGUGGCGACUCAGGGGGGUAAUCUACCUAUGUCAGGGCCGGCAGGUAAGGACCAAGGAGGAGGAGGAGGAGGAGGAGGCUGGGAGAAGGGAGGGGAAGGGAUGAGGGACAAGGUCAUUGGGUAAGAGUACGGUAGGAACCACCAGACGGUUAGGGAAGAGUCGGUGGGGGUAGUAGUAGUAGUGGUAGUAGUAGUAGUAGUAGUAGUUGUAGUAGUAGUAGUAGUAGUAGUAUAAAAGUUACUAUCAUAUUUCGAGGACGGUGAGAGGAGUGAGUGUGACCAGACUGGAAAUAAACAUACGAGAGUAAUAGGAGGGAGAGGGAGGAAGGGGAGGAGGAGGAGGAGGAGGCCAUGGAAGAUGAGAUAUGAAGGGAGAGAGGGAGGGGAAGUGGAGGAAAAAUGGACUUGCGAGGAGGAUGUUGGUGGAGAAAAGUUGCUUGUGAAGGAAGAGAGAGAGAGAGAGAGAGAGAGAGAGAGAGAGAGAGAGAGAGAGAGAGAGAGAGAGAGAGAGAGAGAGAGAGAGAUUCA